rnacentral:rRNA from 1 species
UACGUAGGGUGCGAGCGUUGUCCGGAAUUAUUGGGCGUAAAGAGCUCGUAGGCGGCUUGUCGCGUCGGAUGUGAAAGCCCGGGGCUUAACUCCGGGUCUGCAUUCGAUACGGGCAGGCUAGAGUUCGGCAGGGGAGACUGGAAUUCCUGGUGUAGCGGUGAAAUGCGCAGAUAUCAGGAGGAACACCGGUGGCGAAGGCGGGUCUCUGGGCCGAUACUGACACUGAGGAGCGAAAGCGUGGGGAGCGAACAGG